rnacentral:rRNA from 1 species
AUGGUAGGAUAGAGGCCUACCAUGGUGGUAACGGGUAACGGGGUGUUAGGGCACGACACCGGAGAGGGAGCCUGAGAAACGGCUACCACAUCCAAGGAAGGCAGCAGGCGCGCAAAUUACCCAAUCCCGACACGGGGAGGUAGUGACAAUAAAUAACAAUACAGGGUUCUUUGAAUCUUGUAAUUGGAAUGAGUACAAUUUAAAUCUCUUAACGAGGAACAAUUGGAGGGCAAGUCUGGUGCCAGCAGCCGCGGUAAUUCCAGCUCCAAUAGCGUAUAUUAAAGUUGUUGCAGUUAAAAAGCUCGUAGUUGAAUUUCGGGAUCAAUACGUCGGUCGUGCUUUCGGGUACGUACUGGCGUCAUUGGUUUCUCCUUUCUGACGAACCAUGAUGUCAUUAAUUUGGUGUUAUGGGGAGUUAGGACUGUUACUUUGAAAAAAUUAGAGUGUUUAAAGCAGGCAUUAGCUUGAAUACAUUAGCAUGGAAUAAUGAAAUAGGACGUUCGAUCCUAUUUUGUUGGUUUCUAGGAUCAACGUAAUGAUUAAUAGGGAUAGUUGGGGGCAUUAGUAUUCAAUUGUCAGAGGUGAAAUUCUUGGAUUUAUUGAAGACUAACUACUGCGAAAGCAUUUGCCAAGGAUGUUUUCGUUAAUCAAGAACGAAAGUUAGGGGAUCGAAGACGAUCAGAUACCGUCGUAGUCUUAACCAUAAACUAUGCCGACUAGGGAUCGGAUGAUGUUAAUUUUUUAAUGACUCAUUCGGCGCCUUACGGGAAACCAAAGUGUUUGGG